GUUACUGAAACGGAGGAAGGGAAGAAGAACAAAGCACCCAAGCAGCCAAAGCUUGUCCAUGAGAUCCCCACGGAACUGUGUGUAAAUGAUGUGCCUGACCUGUUGGAGGACGAACUGAAGAGCUCAAUGAAAAAGGAUGUUUAGAAUGGCUCUGCCAGGUUAAAGCUCCAGACUUGACCAUCAGAGAUCUAGAGAAACAGGAAAGAGAGAAAUUGGCCAGCAGCUUGGAGUCAUUCAUCCUUGAGACCCAGGAGAAGCUUUACGAAGAGGAGCAUCUGUUUUUCUCAUCAGGGGAGCAGAGAGAAGACAUUUCCAAAAAGCUUAGCGAGGCUUCUGUUUGGAUGGAGGAGGAGGGCUCUGCAGCUGCAACUAGGGUACUGCUGCGUGUAUUCAGGAUACCAGGCACUGUCGCUACCAUGGAAAUAACCACACAGGCUGACUUGAGGAUCAGUCCACCUCGAUCCUUUCUAAUCUGUUUUUUGCAAGUCUCUUGCUUCCCCAGUGCAUUUUGCACAGAAUAAAACACCAUGUUCUUGCAGCUGUGAAUGAGCAGCUUGAGCAGUAACU